CAAAGCACCGGUUUCCAUACGAACACCGAAGUUAAGCAACAUCGUGCCUGGUCAAUACCUAAAUGGGUGACCCCCUUGGAAU